GACGAACGCUGGCGGCGUGCUUAACACAUGCAAGUCGAACGGAAAGGCCCUGCUUGCAGGGUACUCGAGUGGCGAACGGGUGAGUAACACGUGGGUGAUCUGCCCUGCACUUCGGGAUAAGCCUGGGAAACUGGGUCUAAUACCGGAUAGGAGCCAUUUUUAGUGUGAUGGUUGGAAAGUUUUUUCGGUGUAGGAUGAGCUCGCGGCCUAUCGGCUUGUUGGUGGGGUAAUGGCCUACCAAGGCGGCGACGGGUAGCCGGCCUGAGAGGGUGGACGGCCACAUUGGGACUGAGAUACGGCCCAGACUCCUACGGGAGGCAGCAGUGGGGAAUAUUGCACAAUGGGCGCAAGCCUGAUGCAGCGACGCCGCGUGGGGGAUGACGGCCUUCGGGAUGUAAACUCCUUUCGCUAGGGACGAAGCUUUUUGUGACGGUACCUAGAUAAGAAGCACCGGCUAACUACGUG
rnacentral:rRNA from 1 species